rnacentral:lncRNA from 1 species
UUCGUAUUUGCUUUCUUUCUGUAGCUUCUUUCUCAUUGCGUUCUGUAUCUUUCAUUUUGUCACGAUCACGCAAGCACACACACACACACACAUACCCAACAACACCUACAUAGACCCUUGCACCUGCUGACCUUUCAACCCUUAACCUCUCACCUUUCAAUGCUAACCUCUGACGCCUAACCUCUAACCUCUGACCCCCACCAGCGGCCCCUGACCUGGUAUUAGAUGCCCAGUUGGUCCAGGAGACAGCCUACCUGGAGGACCGCCCCUUGCACCUCCUGACCUGUGCCAAUGAGGAGAACUGUCUGUCGUCCUCUGCUGCCCGGAUGAGCUGGCCUUACGGACACAGACGCCUGCUACGAUUCUCCUCACGCAUCAUGAACAUGGGCCGGGCCGACUUCAGACCUAGAGCGACCAGGGAGUCCUGGACCUGGCACCAGUGUCACAGGCAACUACCCAGCAUUGAGGUGUUCACCCAUUAUGGACCUUCUGACCCUGAAUGGAACUAAAGAUCGCUGAGGGUCACAAAGCCAGCUUCUGUCUGGAGGACACCUACUGCCCCGAAGGUAUGUCACCUACACCUACUGUCCGACGGUAUGUCACCUUACCUACUGUCCUGACGCUAUAGUCACCUUACCUACUGUCUGACGGUAUGUCACCUUACCUACUGUCCUGACGGUAUGUCACCUUACCUACUGUCCCGACGGUAUGUCACCUUACCUACUGUCCCGACGGUAUGUCACCUUACCUACUGUGCUGACGCUAUGUCACCUUACCUACUGUCCUGACGCAUCACCUUACCUACUGUCCGAUGGUUAUCAUCUUACCAUACUGUGUCUGAUGGUACUGUCAACUUUACCCUACUGUCCUGACGCUUGUCACCUUACCUACUGUCCUGACGCUAUGUCACCUUACCUACUGUCCUGUGCCGGCAACGCACCUGUACCUACUGUCCUGACAGUUGUCACCUUACCUACUGUCCUGACGCUAUGUCACCUUACCUACUGUCCUGACGGGCACUUCACCUUACCUACUGCUCUGACGGUACGUCACCUGUGUCACUUAUUUUACCUGGCCUAA